GACUGUCGCUGGCACUCUGAGUUUAUUUGGAGUGCAUGUGNACGUCUCUCGGCUUGACGUCGACCCUUUUCUCAUCCAUACUCAUUACACCUGUGCACCUUUUGUAGGUCCUCGAAAGAGGAUCUAUGUCUUUAUCACAUCACACCCGUCGUAUGUCUAGAAUGUCAACAUCAUGUAUCGUAGACCGUCGGAAGGCGGUUCGGUCGAUAUAUGAUAAUAAAUUACAACUUUCAGCAAUGGAUCUCUUGGUUCUCGCAUCGAUGAAGAACGCAGCGAAUUGCGAUAAGUAAUGUGAAUUGCAGAUUUCCAGUGAAUCAUCGAAUCUUUGAACGCACCUUGCGCUCCUUGGUAUUCCGAGGAGCAUGCCUGUUUGAGUGUCAUUUAAUUAUCAACCAUGUCUUGAUUGAUUUCGAGCGCAUGGCUUGGAUGUGGGGGUUGCUGGCCGUGAAAGCGGUCGGCUCUCCUUAAAUGCAUUAGCAAAGGGGUGUGCUAUGGUCUUCUGGACGUGCACGGCCUUCGACGUGAUAAUGAUCGUCGUGGCUGGA
rnacentral:rRNA from 1 species